AAAGCCUGCUUAGUGGUGGAAGAUAGUGUUAUUGGCCUACAGGCAUCAACAAAAGCUGGAAUGUCUUGUGUGAUUACCUACACAUCUUCAACCACAGAACAGGACAUUACAAAUGACAUAACGAAAUACCCCGACUUAAUUGACGUAAGAACCAUUGCUGGUUGAGGUCGAUCAAAUAUACCAUCUCGCAUGCCCUGCUUCAUCGAUUUUGUAUAAAUACAAUGCUUUAAAG